GGGUCUUAGCUCAGUGGUAGAGUAUCUGCCUUGCAAGCAGAAGGCCCAGUUCCCAGCAGCAUAUCCA